UUGCACCCCCACACCCAAGUGAGCAGCUUGCUCACUCCUCAGCUGCAGGAGACAGACGUGUGGAGUCCCAGCAGAGGCCAACCUGUGUCUCUUCAUCUCCCUGGGAAAGGUGCCCCCGAGGUGAAUGAGAUGGCCUGGUGGAAAGCCUGGAUUGAACAGGAGGGUGUCACAGUGAAGAGCAGCUCCCACUUCAACCCAGACCCUGAUGCAGAGACCCUCUACAAAGCCAUGAAGGGGAUCGGGACCAACGAGCAGGCUAUCAUCGAUGUGCUCACCAAGAGAAGCAACGCGCAGCGGCAGCAGAUCGCCAAGUCCUUCAAGGCUCAGUUCGGCAAGGCAAGGGGAAGGCUGGUGGGGGUGGGGAUAGGUGAGCCUUGGGGUUGGGGGUAUAGCCUGGGAGGCAGCUCCAUUCUGGACGACUUUCCCCUAGAGCCAGCCUACUGGCAGCAUGAGCACAUGGAACCUGUUUGCACGAAAACAAUUGUUCUUUAUUGAAAUUCAAAUGUAACUGGCCGCCCUGUGUUUUAUCUGGCAGAUCUACUUUUAGGUGUCAGAGCCCGACCGGCCAGGGGCUGGCCUUCCCUGCUUCCUUUCCUGCCUCCUCUCUCACAGCAUUCCUUCUCGUGCACCCAACAGGCCCCACUGGAGGUCUGUCUCCCUGCCCCCAGGCUAUCUCGCCCUGCCCUCUGAGCCCAGACCACCUUCUCUUUUCCAUGCCCCAGGCAUGCAGGCCUGGCUUUGCUCUGUUCUGGGGCAUGGGCACGCUUUCCUCAGUCGAGCUGCUUGCACCCACACCUCGUCCCUUCUGCCACCUGGGAAUUCUAAGAGCCUGGAGUAAGCAUGCCAGGCCCUUUGUUUCUCCUCCCACCUGCACUCCACCCCUAGGACAAAGCCUGACAUUUGGGGGUACACAGUAAACACAGGAUUAAAUAUGUGCGUAGCCAUGGUUGCCUCAAGCCUCUAGUGACUCAUAUCAUUAGUUUGGAGAUGUAACGAAGGAAGAUCAGCUCAAAUAUUCUCUUGGAGAACCCAGUGUGCAUUUUUACAGUUUCCCUCUCUUAGUCCUCACAGCUAUACAUUCUUUGUAUUCAAACAUUUGGGGAAACUGGCGCUCAGCGAGGUUUUAAGUUGCCCAAGGUCCCAGAGCCUGUAAUCAACAAGGUGGGGAUUAAAAUCCAGGUCUGACAAAGCCUUUGAUCUCUCUGCUGCUCUGUAG
rnacentral:sRNA from 1 species